rnacentral:rRNA from 1 species
CGGUGGUCCCACCUGACCCCAUGCCGAACUCAGAAGUGAAACGCCGUAGCGCCGAUGGUAGUGUGGGGUUUCCCCAUGUGAGAGUAGGGAACUGCCAGGU